GACGAACCGUGCGAACGUUGUUCGGAAUCACUGGGCUUAAAGGGCGCGUAGGCGGAUCAUCAAGUCCGGGGUGAAAUCUUUCGGCUUAACCGGAAAAGUGCCUUGGAUACUGGUGGUCUCGAGUGAGGUAGGGGCAUGUGGAACUUCUGGUGGAGCGGUGAAAUGCGUUGAUAUCAGAAGGAACUCCGGUGGCGAAGGCGGGACUCUGGGCCGAUACUGACGCUGAGGAGCGAAAGCGUGGGGAGCAAACAGG
rnacentral:rRNA from 1 species